AUUGAACGCUGGCGGUAUGCUUAAGACAUGCAAGUCGUGCGGUAGGGGCUUCGGCCCUGAGAGCGGCGGACGGGUGAGUAACGCGUGGGAAUCUGCCUGCUAGUGGGGGAUAGCCCGGAGAAAUCCGGAUUAAUACCGCAUACGUCCUAAGGGGGAAAGCCGCAAGGCGCUAGUAGAUGAGCUCGCGUAAGAUUAGCUAGUUGGUGAGGUAAAGGCUCACCAAGGCGACGAUCUUUAGCUGGUCUGAGAGGAUGGCCAGCCACAUCGGGACUGAGACACGGCCCGGACUCCUACGGGAGGCAGCAGUCGGGAAUAUUGGACAAUGGGCGCAAGCCUGAUCCAGCAAUACCGCGUGUGUGAAGAAGGCCUGCGGGUUGUAAAGCACUUUCAGUUGGGAAGAUAAUGACGUUACCAACAGAAGAAGCACCGGCUAACUCCGUG
rnacentral:rRNA from 1 species